rfam:Ailuropoda melanoleuca scaffold2595_12, whole genome shotgun sequence.
GCCUGGCUGGCUCAGUCGGUAGAGCAUGUGAUUCUUGAUCUCAGGGCCUGAGUUCAAGCCCCAUGUUGGGCG